AACCCCAAAACUUGGCACCCCCCCCACUCUUCCACUAUUCAUUUUCCACUUUAGAAACUCUGGAACUGCCACCGCCUCGCCCUCCUCCUUCACUUCCCCGACUGCACCUUCAAUAUCUCCAUCGAUGCCUGGGUCCCCUAUGUUUCCCCUCUGUCAUCCAAAAUUCGUGAACCUACAAUGGCAGUGACGCAACCCCUAUUUCCUUCGCCGGCAACGACGACAGCUGUCACCAGUCCCCAACCGUCUCUUCCUCCGCCCAUUGCUUCGCUAAGUGAAAUCCUCCUUCGCACAAUCGGCAAACCCAAUCGUGAAGCACCGCCGCUUCUCCCUGCAACCCCAAUCCAUGGAUCAUUACAAUGGAGGUAUAGCACUUUGUGUGUAAAGGGACCAUGGACAAAAGAGAUUUGUUCCCUCAGAUUCAUAAUUUCUCUCUCGCCGGAAGCUCCUCACUGAAGCCACGAUGUCUACUGCCUCACGCAGGCUUCUCGCAAACGCGAACCUGAGAAUAGCCAAGCUUGUUCUGAUGCAAUAUUUUCUUUGAAUUCCUAAAUCUCAAUCCAAUUCUAUUACCUAUUUAUCCCAUGAUCAGAAGUCUAUUGCGGAUGCCCUUUCGAAGCUAGUUAACAACAAGAAACUUUGGGCGAAAUGCAAUCAGAAUGAAGUAUAAUGAUAUAGAAGGUUCCUUUUCUUCCUCAGCACUUCAUGCUUCAGAGUCAGAAAUUCUGGCUUGAAAUUUUAGUUGCAUAAAGGUUAGAAAAAAUUGUAAAGCCCUUUUUUCUCUUUCUUUUUUUCAAUGCUUAAUGUUAGCUUGAAUUCCAUCUUGCAAUUACUGUAUUUUAUUUUAGACUUUAUCCAGAGGCUAAGGCAACAAUUCAGGAGUUGGUAUUUUUGAGAAAUGAAAAUUUCAUAGUAUAUAUUGUACAGGUUUUAGCAAGCACUUAAAAUCUAUGACUAUAUCAAUUUUUGAGGAAUGGAUAACUUUGCUGGGGUUGCUUAUUGUUUU